CCGAGUGAGGGCCUCUGGCCCGACCUCCAACCCUUUGUUAUCAAAACCAUUGUUGCCUCGGGGUACCCGAGUCUGCCGGCUUCGGGGCCCCGACGGACCAUUUCAAAACUCUGCAUCUUUGCGUCGGGUUUAAAAGUUUAAUUGAUUA
rnacentral:misc_RNA from 1 species